rnacentral:lncRNA from 1 species
GUCUUAAUUUAUGGGUUCUGUUUCUUAUCGUCAGUUUCUAGGAAGUCCAACGUUCACAAAGAUCUCAAUGACACUGUUAAAGGAGUCAGCAAUUCAAGUGUGAUCAGUAAGUCAAGUGUGUCUGUCACGGUGUUAAAGAAGAGGACUGGGCGAGUGUCAGAAUAAACAACAUCUGCUUCCUCUUUCUCAUCAAUCCUGCUUCGUUAAAGACUCACACAGCAUCUCUGAACUGUUGGAUCUUGAGCAACAGAUAAAAUGGUUUUCGCUGUACCUCAGAGAAUCCUCCUGAUCUGCCUGCUUCAGUUUUGCACUUGUGCAGUCGGUCAGAAUGUGGACCCCAAAACUCUCAUGAAUAUUGUAAAGAACUUUGAGAAUCAGUUGGGUAACAUGGGACAAUACGCUGUCGCCUUCAGUACUGAGAAGGACAACUGUCUUAAAGGUUCUGGCUAUCCAAGCAAGGACUUACUAACUAAAGUGAAAGAAAAACUUCAGCUGAAAGAGGUUUACGUGAGCGAUGACCUCAUUGCUGCAAAUCCGAAUGGAAAAGAUCAUUCAGAGUAUCGUCUGAAAAAUUAUCUGAAGAAUAUCUUGAAGGAUGAAAAUGAGUGUGUGGGUUUUUUCACUGUAAAUUCACCCUGUUUGAAAACAUGCCUAGCAGAAUCUGGGCCAUACAGCGUUAAAGACAGUCUUGUACUGUUAGAAAAGUAUGUGGGUAUUAAAGCUUUUGCAUUCAAAAAAAUUUGGACACAUGAUAAAAAGGAGGAUGUGAUAAAGAGACUGAAUGAAAUUGCACCUAAUUUGCCAUAUUAUCAGUGUGAGAAAAACAAAGCUAGAUGUGACAGCCUGUAAGAAGAGUAAUGCUUGACAGUUGCUUUCCUCACAUAUAGAAAGUUUUAUUAAGCUGAGGAUUUUUUGUUUUGUUUUGAAAUGCAGUAAACAUUAAAAUUGGUAGAUAAAAUCAAUCAUAUGUAAAAAAAAAAAAAAUCAUAAAUUUUGAAAGAUGACAAGUACUGUUAAAGUAAACUAAUGUUAGCAUGUCUGCUUACUGCUGGAGUGAAUAAAAAUACAUUUUAUGAGCAUCAUUUGUGGUUCAAGUAUUAUCUUAUUAUACGCAUUAUUCAGUCAUAUUGAGUGCAAAUAUCUCUUUUAACUGUGAUAUCCUUUCAUUAUUUUUCACCUAAAAGCUGUUGCAUGAAGAUGAAAUGCUUUUUAUUUAGCACAGAUUUAGAUGAUACAUAAAUACAUAAUUCUUUACUAGUGAUUUAUUGCAACCAGAAAUGACCAAAAAUUUUCAUUUAUGCAUGCACAAAUACAUGAAAAUGUAUUUAAAAUAAAAAAUACUAAAUACUUUGUGGAAAAAUAUAUUUAAAUACAAACACAAAAUACUGUUUGGUAAAAUGUAUUUAAAUACAAAUAGAGUAUUUGUAUUUUAAAAAUAAACAAAAUACAUGUGAAAUUGGCCAUCCAAUGUAGGCAUCCCUAUAGGCUCAAAUCUAUCUGGACCUAUUCUGAAGGCAAAAAAACAAAAAAACAAAAAAAACCUUUAGAUGUGUACAAGUACUUAGAAACCAUUUUCAUUUAACAUACAUCUUCCCUUCCCCUGCCCUGUAGGAAAUACAAAACUCCAAAAAUAAAUAAAUAAAUAAAUAAAUACAAAAAAAGGUUAAUGUUUAUUUCACGUUAGAAGAAUGUACAAUGUACAAGAAUUAUGUAUUUAAAUAGCAUUUAACACUUUUUGCUCAAUAGUACUAUUAACUUCUUUGUCUAGUUAAGUUUUUUUUUUUUGUAUUGAACAAUAAACCAAAACUAAAGAUUUCUUUGUGGUGUACCAUUUGUCAGUGUUUGUAUCAAUAUUGUAAUCAAUAAUCAGUAUUGUUCAAUCAGUAUUGUUCAGUCAGUAUCAUUAUUUAUAAACUUCUCAAGAAAAGAUUGUUUGACAAACUACUCGGCAAACUACUUCUUCUCACCGCUGCUUUCCGAUGGAUUGGAGAACACAUACUCUGAGUUGCCCUGUUGUUUCACAGAAUUACACAACGGCGAGCAAGUGAAAAAAGUGUCAAGCAAGUGUCAAAAAAAGCUGCGUCUGUUUAGGGAGGAGUGCGCACCGUCAGCAGGUUUGCGGUGUAGAGGCAGGCAAAGCAUUGUGGAAGGCCAUUUGGGCCAAAAACGUGCAAAUUUUAAUGCGUCUAGAAUAUGUUGU